GAACGAACGCUGGCGGCGUGCCUAACACAUGCAAGUCGUACGUGAAAGCCCGCAAGGGUCAGUAAAGUGGCGCACGGGUGAGUAACACGUGGGUAACCUGCCCUCGAGUGGGGAAUAACCCAGGGAAACUUGGGCUAAGACCGCAUGACCUCCUCGGAUCUGCGGAUCUGGGGAGCAAAGGUGGCCUCUGCUUGCAAGCUACCGCUCGAGGAGGGGCCCGCGGCCCAUUAGCUAGUUGGUAGGGUAACGGCCUACCAAGGCGACGAUGGGUAGCCGGCCUGAGAGGGUGUCCGGCCACACUGGAACUGAGACACGGUCCAGACUCCUACGGGAGGCAGCAGUGAGGAAUCUUGCGCAAUGGGCGAAAGCCUGACGCAGCAACGCCGCGUGGAUGAUGAAGGCCUUCGGGUCGUAAAAUCCUGUCGAGUGGGACGAAUCACCGGUCGGCAAACAGCCGGUCGGCUUGACUGUACCACUGGAGGAAGCCCCGGCUAACUCCGUGCCAGCAGCCGCGGUAAUACGGAGGGGGCGAGCGUUGUUCGGAAUCAUUGGGCGUAAAGGGCGCGUAGGCGGUCGGGUAAGUCGGUUGUGAAAUCCCCUGGCUUAACCAGGGAAGUGCGUCCGAAACUGCCUGACUAGAGGCCGGGAGAGGAGAGUGGAAUUCCCAGUGUAGCGGUGAAAUGCGUAGAUAUUGGGAGGAACACCGGUGGCGAAGGCGGCUCUCUGGACCGGUUCUGACGCUGAGGCGCGAAAGCUAGGGGAGCAAACAGGAUUAGAUACCCUGGUAGUCCUAGCUGUAAACGAUGGGCACUUGGUGUUGCGGGUAUUGACCCCUGCAGUGCCGAAGCUAACGCAUUAAGUGCCCCGCCUGGGGAGUACGGUCGCAAGGCUGAAACUCAAAU
rnacentral:rRNA from 1 species